UACGUAGGGUGCAAGCGUUGUCCGGAAUUAUUGGGCGUAAAGAGCUCGUAGGUGGCCUGUCGCGUCGGCUGUGAAAACUCGGGGCUCAACCCCGGGCGUGCAGUGGAUACGGGCUGGCUAGAGGCAGGCAGGGGAGAACGGAAUUCCCGGUGUAGCGGUGAAAUGCGCAGAUAUCGGGAGGAACACCGGUGGCGAAGGCGGUUCUCUGGGCCUGUACUGACGCUGAGGAGCGAAAGCGUGGGGAGCGAACAGG
rnacentral:rRNA from 1 species